GAGGCUAUAGCUUAAUUGGUAAAGCAUACUACUCAUGAUGGUACUUAGUAAGUGUUCGAGUCACUUUAGCCUUA
rnacentral:tRNA from 1 species